rnacentral:rRNA from 1 species
GGGAUUAGCUAGUUGGUGAGGUAAGGGCUCACCAAGGCGACGAUCCCUAGCUGGUCUGAGAGGAUGAUCAGCCACACUGGAACUGAGACACGGUCCAGACUCCUACGGGAGGCAGCAGUGGGGAAUAUUGCACAAUGGGCGCAAGCCUGAUGCAGCCAUGCCGCGUGUGUGAAGAAGGCCUUCGGGUUGUAAAGCACUUUCAGUCGUGAGGAAGGUGGUAGUGUUAAUAGCACUAUCAUUUGACGUUAGCGACAGAAGAAGCACCGGCUAACUCCGUGCCAGCAGCCGCGGUAAUACGGAGGGUGCGAGCGUUAAUCGGAAUUACUGGGCGUAAAGCGCAUGCAGGUGGUUUGUUAAGUCAGAUGUGAAAGCCCGGGGCUCAACCUCGGAAUUGCAUUUGAAACUGGCAGACUAGAGUACUGUAGAGGGGGGUAGAAUUUCAGGUGUAGCGGUGAAAUGCGUAGAGAUCUGAAGGAAUACCGGUGGCGAAGGCGGCCCCCUGGACAGAUACUGACACUCAGAUGCGAAAGCGUGGGGAGCAAACAGGAUUAGAUACCCUGGUAGUCCACGCCGUAAACGAUGUCUACUUGGAGGUUGUGGCCUUGAGCCGUGGCUUUCGGAGCUAACGCGUUAAGUAGACCGCCUGGGGAGUACGGUCGCAAGAUUAAAACUCAAAUGAAUUGACGGGGGCCCGCACAAGCGGUGGAGCAUGUGGUUUAAUUCGAUGCAACGCGAAGAACCUUACCUACUCUUGACAUCCAGAGAACUUUCCAGAGAUGGAUUGGUGCCUUCGGGAACUCUGAGACAGGUGCUGCAUGGCUGUCGUCAGCUCGUGUUGUGAAAUGUUGGGUUAAGUCCCGCAACGAGCGCAACCCUUAUCCUUGUUUGCCAGCGAGUAAUGUCGGGAACUCCAGGGAGACUGCCGGUGAUAAACCGGAGGAAGGUGGGGACGACGUCAAGUCAUCAUGGCCCUUACGAGUAGGGCUACACACGUGCUACAAUGGCGCAUACAGAGGGCAGCCAACUUGCGAAAGUGAGCGAAUCCCAAAAAGUGCGUCGUAGUCCGGAUUGGAGUCUGCAACUCGACUCCAUGAAGUCGGAAUCGCUAGUAAUCGUGGAUCAGAAUGCCACGGUGAAUACGUUCCCGGGCCUUGUACACACCGCCCGUCACACCAUGGGAGUGGGCUGCAAAAGAAGUAGGUAGUUUAACCUUCGGGGGGACGCUUACCACUUUGUGGUUCAUGACUGGGGUGAAGUCGUAACAAGGUAGCGCUAGGGGAACC